GGCCCAGAGAGGGCGCUUGCCCCUUUUUUUUUUUUUUUAAACAGAUUUCUCCUAUUUAAUUAUUGCUCCAAAAUUUAAAUAAAGGCACAAACAAACAAAUAAAAUCAAGCAAAAAUUAUACUGCAGCAUGAAUGCAAACUCAAACAUGUUUCUACCUUAUAUUUAAUUUUAUUUAAUUUUGUAAAUUAUUUAAUAAUUUCCAAAAAUUCAAAUUGAGCCAAAAUUAAAUCAAAUUUAAACUAAAUUUGAAAUUCAAAAAUUUGGAGUGUUAUACCUGACGAUGCUGGGAGGCACCUUGGACGAAAGCUUACGAUGAUGACGCUAGUGGGCGUCACCUUUUCCUGUUGGGGUGUUGUAUUCCUCUUCCAACAUGUCUUUCACAGGUGGAAACCUGGUCCAUAUCUUGGACGAGCGACGACGGUGCCAUCGACUUUGCACCCUUCUUAAAAGGCGUCGCCAUUGGAAUCCGUCUUGGCCAUGAUGUCUCCUCCGGUUGAAUUCAGAGCUGCUGCAUUAGGGGAUGUGGCUCGGCAACAAUGAUACAGGUCGAACCCUCCUUCAACGACUAGAAUUCUGUUUGGGAGGUCUAGCAAACGCCAGGGUGGGGUGUGGGAUCAAGACAGGAAUUUGGAGCUGCUCUUCAAGGUUACAUGUGAGCUUUGCAAUGAUGACCCAUUGUGACCUCUUGCUUUGGACCCGUCUAUCUGG
rnacentral:lncRNA from 1 species